UCAGGUCUGUCUUCAAAAUGUGUGCA
rnacentral:piRNA from 1 species